GACGAACGCUGGCGGCGUGCUUAACACAUGCAAGUCGAACGGAAAGGCCCUGCUUUUGUGGGGUGCUCGAGUGGCGAACGGGUGAGUAACACGUGAGUAACCUGCCCUUGACUUUGGGAUAACUUCAGGAAACUGGGGCUAAUACCGGAUAGGAGCUCCUGCUGCAUGGUGGGGGUUGGAAAGUUUCGGCGGUUGGGGAUGGACUCGCGGCUUAUCAGCUUGUUGGUGGGGUAGUGGCUUACCAAGGCUUUGACGGGUAGCCGGCCUGAGAGGGUGACCGGCCACAUUGGGACUGAGAUACGGCCCAGACUCCUACGGGAGGCAGCAGUGGGGAAUAUUGCACAAUGGGCGGAAGCCUGAUGCAGCAACGCCGCGUGCGGGAUGACGGCCUUCGGGUUGUAAACCGCUUUCGCCUGUGACGAAGCGUGAGAGACGGUAAUGGGUAAAGAAGCACCGGCUAACUACGU
rnacentral:rRNA from 1 species